GACGAACGCUGGCGGCGUGCUUAACACAUGCAAGUCGAACGGAAAGGCCCUGCUUGCAGGGUACUCGAGUGGCGAACGGGUGAGUAACACGUGGGUGAUCUGCCCUGCACUUCGGGAUAAGCCUGGGAAACUGGGUCUAAUACCGGAUAGGAGCCAUUUUUAGUGUGAUGGUUGAAAGUUUUUUCGGUGUAGGAUGAGCUCGCGGCCUAUCAGCUUGUUGGUGGGGUAAUGGCCUACCAAGGCGGCGACGGGUAGCCGGCCUGAGAGGGUGGACGGCCACAUUGGGACUGAGAUACGGCCCAGACUCCUACGGGAGGCAGCGGUGGGGAAUAUUGCACAAUGGGCGCAAGCCUGAUGCAGCGACGCCGCGUGGGGGAUGACGGCCUUCGGGUUGCAAACUCCUUUCGCUAGGGACGAAGCUUUUUGUGACGGUACCUAGAUAAGAAGCACCGGCUAACUACGUG
rnacentral:rRNA from 1 species